GUGAACGCUGGCGGUAGGCCUAACACAUGCAAGUCGAACGGCAGCACAGUAAGAGCUUGCUCUUACGGGUGGCGAGUGGCGGACGGGUGAGGAAUACAUCGGAAUCUACUUUUUCGUGGGGGAUAACGUAGGGAAACUUACGCUAAUACCGCAUACGACCUACGGGUGAAAGCAGGGGAUCUUCGGACCUUGCGCGAUUGAAUGAGCCGAUGUCGGAUUAGCUAGUUGGCGGGGUAAAGGCCCACCAAGGCGACGAUCCGUAGCUGGUCUGAGAGGAUGAUCAGCCACACUGGAACUGAGACACGGUCCAGACUCCUACGGGAGGCAGCAGUGGGGAAUAUUGGACAAUGGGCGCAAGCCUGAUCCAGCCAUACCGAGUGGGUGAAGAAGGCCUUCGGGUUGUAAAGCCCUUUUGUUGGGAAAGAAAAGCAGCAGGUUAAUACCCCGCUGUUCUGACGGUACCCAAAGAAUAAGCACCGGCUAACUUCGUG
rnacentral:rRNA from 1 species